rnacentral:rRNA from 1 species
AAUAGAUACCCAGGUAGUCCACGCUGUAAACGAUGUCUACUAGAUAGAGGCAGUUUCGACCCUGUCCCUGUCGCAGCUAACGCAUAAGUAGACCGCCUGGGGAGUACGGUCGCAAGAUUAAAACUCAAAGGAAUUGACGGGGACCCGCACAAGCAGCGGAGUGUGUGGUUUAAUUCGAUGCAACGCGAAGAACCUUACCAGGGUUUGACAUGCUCGCGCACCGGGUAGAGAUACUCGUGCCCGCAAGGGACGCGAGCACAGGUGCUGCAUGGCUGUCGUCAGCUCGUGCCGUGAGGUGUUGGGUUAAGUCCCCUAACGAGCGCAACCCCUAUCGUUGGUUGUACUUCUCCAGCGAGACUGCCGCGCGCAACGCGGAGGAAGGUGGGGAUGAUGUCAAGUCAGCACGGCCCUUACGUCCUGGGGCGACACACGUGCUACAAUGGGCGGCACAAAGGGUUGCGAUAAACGCGAGUUGGAGCUAAUCCCAAAAAACCGUCCUCAGUACGGAUUGCAGU